rnacentral:rRNA from 1 species
CAAGUCGUAACGCACUCUCGUUAGAUUGAAGAAGCUUGCUUCUGAUUGAUAACAUUUGAGUGAGUGGCGGACGGGUGAGUAACACGUGGGUAACCUGCCCUAAAGUGGGGGAUAACAUUUGGAAACAGAUGCUAAUACCGCAUAAAACCUAGCACCGCAUGGUGCAAGGUUGAAAGAUGGUUUCGGCUAUCACUUUAGGAUGGACCCGCGGUGCAUUAGUUAGUUGGUGAGGUAAAGGCUCACCAAGACCGUGAUGCAUAGCCGACCUGAGAGGGUAAUCGGCCACACUGGGACUGAGACACGGCCCAGACUCCUACGGGAGGCAGCAGUAGGGAAUCUUCCACAAUGGACGAAAGUCUGAUGGAGCAACGCCGCGUGAGUGAAGAAGGUUUUCGGAUCGUAAAACUCUGUUGUUGGAGAAGAACGUAUUUGAUAGUAACUGAUCAGGUAGUGACGGUAUCCAACCAGAAAGCCACGGCUAACUACGUGCCAGCAGCCGCGGUAAUACGUAGGUGGCAAGCGUUGUCCGGAUUUAUUGGGCGUAAAGCGAGCGCAGGCGGUUUCUUAAGUCUGAUGUGAAAGCCUUCGGCUCAACCGAAGAAGUGCAUCGGAAACUGGGAAACUUGAGUGCAGAAGAGGACAGUGGAACUCCAUGUGUAGCGGUGAAAUGCGUAGAUAUAUGGAAGAACACCAGUGGCGAAGGCGGCUGUCUGGUCUGUAACUGACGCUGAGGCUCGAAAGCAUGGGUAGCAAACAGGAUUAGAUACCCUGGUAGUCCAUGCCGUAAACGAUGAGUGCUAGGUGUUGGAGGGUUUCCGCCCUUCAGUGCCGCAGCUAACGCAUUAAGCACUCCGCCUGGAGAGUACGACCGCAAGGUUGAAACUCAGAGGAAUUGACGGGGGCCCGCACAAGCGGUGGAGCAUGUGGUUUAAUUCGAAGCAACGCGAAGAACCUUACCAGGUCUUGACAUCCUUUGACCACUCUAGAGAUAGAGCUCUCCCUUCGGGGACAAAGUGACAGGUGGUGCAUGGUUGUCGUCAGCUCGUGUCGUGAGAUGUUGGGUUAAGUCCCGCAACGAGCGCAACUUUAUUACUAGUGCCAGCAUUUAGUUGGGCACUCUAGUGAGACUGCCGGUGACAAACCGGAGGAAGGUGGGACAACGUCAAUCAUCUGCCCUUAUGACUGGGCUAC